UGGCGCUUAUGUUUUGUGUGACGUUUUACACGGACUCUUCAGUGCGGGGAGUGCAGCUGUAUGAGAGCACAAUUGCUAGAGCCUGUACUGGGGGUCUGUCUGUCUGCUGACCUGGAAGCUGCUUCAUCAUUAAUAUCUUGCUGGAGCUGAGCCAUACUGUGGGACCAAGACCAUCUUCAGGAUUUCAACCUGACAAUCACAACUGCUGUGAUCACUGCUGCUGCCCACCACCACCCUCCUCACCUGGCUUCCCCCACCACCUCCACCAACAUUACAUCUCCAAUGAUCCCCACCCAGAACACCUACAGUGAGAAAUUGUUUUGUGUAUUGCAAUGUGUCUUGACAGGGUAACUGUUACGGGGUGUGGUGUGUGGACAGA